rnacentral:lncRNA from 1 species
UGAUAAGUUUCGUGGCUCCGUCUCAUUUACAUUUCCUUGUCGCUUUCAGGCAUGUUUCUACAAGUAGACAUUGAUGAAUACAACACAGGCAGAACAUACUGGGCUCACUGGAGGUGGCCAUUGAAAGACGGAAACGAAUGCGAGGAAGGCUUGUUCAUCAGAGAGGAGGUUUUCUUGCUGCCUUUAAUAAUAUUGAAGUCUCAAGUCAUU